rnacentral:rRNA from 1 species
AUUGAACGCUGGCGGCAUGCUUUACACAUGCAAGUCGAACGGCAGCGCGGGCUUCGGCCUGGCGGCGAGUGGCGAACGGGUGAGUAAUGCAUCGGAACGUGCCCAGUAGUGGGGGAUAGCCCGGCGAAAGCCGGAUUAAUACCGCAUACGACCUGAGGGUGAAAGCGGGGGACCGAAAGGCCUCGCGCUAUUGGAGCGGCCGAUGUCGGAUUAGCUAGUUGGUGGGGUAAAGGCUUGCCAAGGCGACGAUCCGUAGCUGGUCUGAGAGGACGACCAGCCACACUGGGACUGAGACACGGCCCAGACUCCUACGGGAGGCAGCAGUGGGGAAUUUUGGACAAUGGGGGCAACCCUGAUCCAGCCAUGCCGCGUGCGAGAAGAAGGCCUUCGGGUUGUAAACCGCUUUUGUUCGGGAAGAAAUCCUCUGGGCUAAUACCCCGGGGGGAUGACGGUACCGGAAGAAUAAGCACCGGCUAACUACGUG